rnacentral:rRNA from 1 species
CAGUAGCCGCGGUAAUACGUAGGGUGCGAGCGUUAAUCGGAAUUACUGGGCGUAAAGCGUGCGCAGGCGGUUGUGUAAGACAGGUGUGAAAUCCCCGGGCUUAACCUGGGAACUGCGCUUGUGACUGCACAGCUAGAGUAUGGCAGAGGGGGGUGGAAUUCCACGUGUAGCAGUGAAAUGCGUAAAGAUGUGGAGGAACACCGAUGGCGAAGGCAGCCCCCUGGGCCAAUACUGACGCUCAUGCACGAAAGCGUGGGGAGCAAACAGGAUUAGAUACCCCCGUAGUCCCUGUCUCUUAUAC